rnacentral:rRNA from 1 species
GAAACUACUACAUGGAUAACCGUGGUAAUUCUAUGGCUAAUACAUGCGCAAAUACUAUAUUCCUUGAGAGUAUAGUAGUGUUUAUUAGAUACAGAACCAAUACACUAUCAUUCUAUGAUAGUGUAGAAGAAGGUGAUUCAUAGUAACCGAACGGAUCGCAUUAUAAUCAUUUUUUAUGAUUGGCGAUAGAUCAUUCAAGUUUCUGACCUAUCAGCUUUCGACGGUAGUGUAUUGGACUACCGUGGCAGUGACGGGUAACGGGGAAUUAGGGUUCGAUUCCGGAGAGGGAGCCUGAAAAACGGCUACCACAUCUAA